rnacentral:sRNA from 1 species
GGGCAGGGGAAUGUACCGACAGGAGCCUGUUCUUCCGCGCCACACUUCAAUGGCACUGAUAGAACACCACAACUUAUUUGCACAAAAAAUAACUCAGCCAUUACAUGUCUGUUUCCAAGAGCCACACAUGUUAGAGAAACUUGAGGAAGAAGGGUAUGAGUCGUGUGCUGUGUCUCAUGCAUGUGGGCUCAUUCUCUCCAAGCUGCUUUUCAUUUAUGGCCUCUUUCUUUUGCAGAAAUGUGAGUUCCUCCUCUUGAAAGUCUAUUGCUGUUCUGAGAGCUCCUUUUUUGCCAAGAUUCCAUACUAUUAUUAUGUAAGUAACAACAGCAACCCAUGAUUACAGGCUGCCAUGACAUUACCUGACCCUGAAAUGGGCCCUCGUGAGAUUUGUGAUCUUAAUCCCAUGGGGCAAGAGCACAUGCUGUCAUUAGUUACCUUCACCUUGUUGUAUUUCUGCUGGAUUUUAUGGGAAUCCACAGAAGGUAGACAUUGAACUAUGCUGGUAGCUUUUCCAUUGGUAUAUUUGUCACCAGAUUAGAGAGGCGUGUCAAGGCCUGAAGGAGCCCAUGUGGUUGGAUAAAAUCAAGAAAAGGCUGAAUGAGCACGGUUACCCCCAAGUGGAGGGGUUUGUACAAGACAUGCGCCUCAUCUUCCAGAACCACAGGGCCUCUUACAAGUAUAAGGAUUUUGGCCAAAUGGGACUUAGACUGGAGGCUGAAUUUGAGAAGGAUUUUAAGGAAGUGUUUGCUAUUCAGGAAACAAAUGGGA